GCCGGGCGUGGUGGUGCAUGCCUGUAAUCCCAGCUACCUGGAAGGCUGAGGCAGGAGAAUCGCUUGAACCUGGGAGGCUGCAAUGAGCCGAGAUCGCGUCACUGCACUCCAGUCUGGGACAGAGUGAGCCUCCAUCUCAAUUAGCUAACGUAUAAAAAAAAGAGUCUCGCUCUGUCCCAGGCUGGAGUGCAGUGGUAUGAUCUCAGCUCAUUGCAGCGUCCACCUCCUGGGUUCAAGUGAUUCUCCUGCCUCAG
rnacentral:SRP_RNA from 1 species